UAAAAACCCCGACUUCGGAAGGGGUGUAUUUAUUAGAUACAAAACCAAUGCCCUUCGGGGCUCUUUGGUGAUUCAUGAUAACUAUACGAAUCGCACGGCCUUGCGCCGGCGAUGGUUCAUUCAAAUCUCUUCCCUAUCAACUUUCGAUGUUUGGGUAUUGGCCAAACAUGGUUGCAACGGGUAACGGAGGGUUAGGGCUCGACCCCGGAGAAGGAGCCUGAGAAACGGCUACUACAUCCAAGGAAGGCAGCAGGCGCGCAAAUUACCCAAUCCCGACUCGGGGAGGUAGUGACAAUAAAUACUGAUACAGGGCCCUUUCGGGCCUUGUAAUUGGAAUGAGUACAAUUUAAAUCCCUUAACGAGGAACAAUUGGAGGGCAAGCCUGGCGCCAGCAGCCGCGGUAAUUCCAGCUCCAAUAGCGUAUAUUAAAGUUGUUGUGGUUAAAAAGCUCGUAGUUGAACCUUGGGCCUGGCUGGCCGGUCCGCCUCACCGCGUGCACUGGUCCGGCCGGGCCUUUCCCUCUGUGGAACCCCAUACCCUUCACUGGGCGUGGCGGGGAAACAGGACAUUUACUUU
rnacentral:rRNA from 1 species